GAGCAACUUAUCAUCUGAAUAGUAGACACCAGGGACAACAAUGGCAGGGCAAAAUGCAAGUUGUUCAUUCUCUGCAAAGAAGUUAUCAAUGUUUUUAUUCAGAACCAGACGGCCAACUGGCUGCAGAGGAAGAAUAUCUUCAGGCCAGGUCUUAGUUACAUCAAGUGGAUCAAAGUCAAAUCUGUCCUCAUGAUUGGGAUCAAUUGUCUGAAUAUAAAGUUUCCACUCAGGGUAGUUGCCAGCUGCAAUGGAAUCAUAGAGAUCCUUGGUAGCAUGGCUGUGAUUAGCUCCUCCAACCUUAAUAGCUUCAUCCUCCAACAAACACUUGACUCCACACGUAGGUUUCCAAUGAAAUUUCACAUACUGUACUUUCCCCGCCUUAUUGAUAAGGGUAUAGGUGUUAACACCAGAGCCUUCCAUGUGCCUGUAAUCUUGUGGAACUCCCAGAUCAUCAAAUAGGAAGGUGAACAUGUGCAGGCUUUCUGGGUGGUGGGAGAAGAAGUCAAGGAUCCUCCAAGGCUCUUGAAUGUGCGACUUGGGGUUCGGUUUGAGAGCAUGGACCAUGUCCGGGAAUUUCAUUCCGUCACGAACAAAAAAGACAGGGAAAUUGUUUCCAACCAGGUCAAAAUUACCCUGUGUUUAAGAACAAAGUCGCCACAUGAGUACUAACAACACAGCAAAAUAAACCUGAAUAAAGUUGUAUAUAGUGAAUAAUAAUGUUACCAAGAAAUCAACCAUCUGUAUAAGCAUCUAGAUUACAGAUGGUAUGCUACAUGAGCAAUCUUUUACAGCCAGGUGACUACCCCCAUUAGUAAACGAAAAUGAAAAGGCAAAGAAAAGAAAGGAAUGAAUGCAAUCUUUCAUCAAAGUCACAAGACUGCAUAAUUUCCAACAACUAUAAUUAGUCAAAUAUGAAUUGAGUACUUCAUAUUUUGUCACCACAGCCACCUCAGCUGCCACUACAGACACCAAUACAUAUCCACUAAAUAUGCCUAUGCUAUUGAAAAUAAAAAUAAAAUUAACACAUUGAUAAUAUAAAGGUAAAAACCUCACCUCUCUGGUGUAAAACUUCACUGCAAAACCACGAGGAUCCCUCAGGGUUUCAGGGCUGCCACGCUCAUGGAUAACAGUGGAGAAACGCACAAUGACAGGUGUCUGAACACCGGGGGCUCGAAGGAAGUCAGCACAUGUAAGCUGAGAAAUAUCAUGAGUGACCUCGAAGAAUCCCUUCGCACUGGCUCCCCUAGCAUGGACAACACGCUCUGGGAUUCGUUCUCUAUCAAAGUUGGCAAGUUUCUCCACCAGAUGAUAGUCCUCAAGGAGAAUUGGGCCUGACAAAUAGACACAGAAAUUUAAUUCGGAACUGCACCGACUCAACUCACCAUAUUUAAGCAUCUAGAUUACAUGCAAAUAUAGGAUAAAAAUGAAAUUAGUUGUUAUACAUUCCAGAACAUCAAAUAAAGAUGAUUGCUGCUCAGUUGCAAAUAUUCGUAAUUUUUAUUUACAUUUAGAAGGUAGGUUUUCAGACAACCAGAUGAUCAAAAAACCCAUCUUGACAAACCAAAAGGAGGCUGGAGGAAUUAAAAGAGAACCAACAGUGCGGGAGAAUCAUUUUUCAACUAAAGUAAGCAUAAAAUUUUAAAAUAAAUGUCAAUAGGAAAAGGAUCAGCUUCAAAUACAAGAUAUAUAAGUAUAUAUACAUAUCUUAAAUCCCACAAGCGUUUCCAAAGAUUAAUCAUCCUCAACAUGGUAGUGGUGGGAAUAACAUCCAAAAAGCAGUUUACAGCUCAUAAUCACAUGAAUAUCAAAAUCUUGUUCAGAAAAGUUGAGAAAACCAUCACAAAAAUUCAAAACCCAGGUAAGCGAAGAACCAAUGAUAACAAAGAUGAAUAUAUACACACAAAUAGUGAAUAGCAUCAUAAGAUAGAUUGAACAUGAAGCGCAACUAAAAAAACAAUAAAAUAUAAAAUAUAAACUGUGUUGCAAUUGAAAAGCCAGCAUCAAUCAACGAAGAGUUGUGAUGAAUUACCUCUAGAUCCAACAGUCAAAGAAGAGUUGUUGUUCCAAACAGGAGCACCGGAGUUUGUGGUCCAGAAUGGGGAAUCAAAAGCACUUGAAGGGCGGUACUGCAACAUACACAACGAAAACGAAACAAGACCAUGAUGAGCUAAAAGAACAACAAACACAAAAUUUCGAGCUACGCUUAAAUGACCAAUCUGAUUGAUCAAGAAGAUUAAUUCAUCAAGAAAUCAAACUUAAACAAAUCAAGAGAUAUUAUAACAGGGAAAUGAGUACCUUGUAAGGAUCCAUGGAGAAAGAGGGGGAAGGAGGAGUUUGAUAAGAAGGUGAGAGAGCAGAGCAAAGCCACCCAAAGGGAGGGUCGUGUGGCAAAUGAGAAUCGAAGAGCGAAAUGUGAAAUUGGGGAAUUUAUAAACACUUGCGGGUCGUGGGCGUGGCUCGCGCUUCUGCGCAAAUUACCAAUCUCAGCAGGUUAUCUUUAUCCACACACAGAGUGGGAGGUCAAGAGAAGAGAAGACAUAUCUUUGCCAAUUUAGCGUCGCGAGUCAGAACGAUUCUCGCCAAACCUGUCAACGAAGCAUUCUUGUAUGCACAAUUGUGGCAAAACGUCCUUCACUCACUUCAAAUCUUUUACAACCAAUUUUAUGAGGAGGGAUUUUUUUACAAAAAAAAUAAAAAAUUAUACAAUUUUAUGAGGAGAUGGUAUGCAACAAAAAAACAGAGGGGAUUCAGAUUUUUUUUUUUUAAUGGAAAUUAUUGUCCAAAAACAAAAGAAACAUUGAAGAAAUUGAGAGUUCAAUUUAAAAGUAAAAGAGAUCAUUAAAAUGAGUAAAAGAGACUAGAAACACCAUAAUUGACUGUGUAAUUAUAAAAUAUAUGGAGUCGUUUUUUUAUUUUUCAAAUUUUGUGAACAUAUUAUCCCUAAAUAAUGAACACAAAAAUUGAUUUAAAUAUAAUGUUGGUGUUGAUUGCAAUUAAUAAUAGCUAACUAUAGAGAUUUGAUUGAAACAAUUAAAACAUUUCACCACGACAACAAGGUCAAGAAUGCAAGUUGUUUAUUAUUAUGAAUUGGUUUCAAGACGAACAAUUUAACAACAAAUUCCAAACCUCUAUAUUUAGGAUUCAUGCAUUUAUCUACAUUUUAUGAAACUAAGUUGCUCAAAUAAUCUAACCAUUUAACAUGACACAUCAUCAAUUUUUAACCUAAGAUUUUUUUAAAAAAAAAUUGAAGUUAAUUUUAAAGUUAACGUGCUUGAGGGGUUUUUUUUUUCAUCAUGCUUCCUCCUUGAGAAAACUGUGAAUAAAAUUAAUUAAUUGCUACUUAUCUUCAGCUUAUAUAUUGAACCCUAAAGCAUAAAGCGAACUUCAAAACUUUAAUUUUUUGGCCACACAAACUUGAGCAAAGUAUGUCUUAUCUUUUUCACAAGAUUAUUCACUCUCAUUCUAAAUUCAUCGUGAUAUGUUAAGAAAUAACAAGUUUCACGAUGAACUAAAAAAGAACUCUCAAGCACGUUAACAUUAACGUUAGCAUAAGUUUUUGGAAAGAACGAAAAAGACCUUAAUUUAAAGAUUGAUGAUAUGUCAUAUGAAUGGUUAAAUUAUUUAGUUUAAAUUUUACGAAAUAUAAAUAAAUACACGGAUUCUAAAUAUAGAAAUUUGAUAUUCAUUUGCCAUAAAUAUCACUUUAAGAGUGAAAAUCCAGAAUACUAAACUAAAAUUAUAUUUCUUCACAAAAAUUGCAUCUAAAGAUGAGGAUAAAUUGAUGUUCAUCCGGACAUUGAAAAAGCACAAUAUAUCGUGAAGAUAUUCGAUAUAUUGAAAACCUCGCCGAUAUUCAUGUAGGAAGGCUAAACGAUUUUUUUAUGGCAAAAACUUCAACAACAACAACAAAAAAAGAGGCCUGGAAAAUUAUUAUUAUCAUAAUCGUGGUGGGAAUUCAAAAUUGAAAAUAAUUGAGAACGUCAUGCAUUCAUCGUUCGUUAUCCAGGUCUUGGAGCUUUGCUAACACCUAGGCGCAACCACUUAAGGCAGUGGCGGGUAUGGGUGACGUGGUCCACUCACAAGACGCCACGACCACCAAAGUGUACCUUGAAACGCGUGCUCUUAGAAAAUAGCACAGAGAUUCUCUCUCUCAGGGGAUAUGCUUGAAAUUUAUGAACAAAACAGAAGGAAAAAUAAAAACAAACAAGAGGCUAUUUUUGGUGUUGUCUGUGUGAAAGCCGCCAAAACAGCAAAUAUGCUGAUAAGGUUAGAAUGGGCCGAGCUCAGAUUAGCCACAAAGACUGUUCCUCUCUGGGCCCACUUAUCAAUAUUUUAACAUUUUUUUUAAUGGAGCUCGACAAUGAACAAAUUUUGAAGGUAAUUACUUGAUGUUAGUUAGAGAACCUCUAUGUCUAAGGGAACUACGAGUUCAAGGAAGCUUUGAGGUAUGCUCAUGUGACCCUACUUCUUGUUCUUUAUGCAUAAACAUAUUCAAGUUGCAUGUUCAAGGCUUGCCAUCUAAUCAUUAUAUAAUAUUUUGAUCAUCUAUUAUAAAAAUAUAAAAAAAACUAUGUAACUGGGCCUUGGUGCAAUAAGAACUUAAGCAUUAGCUUCAUGUAUGUAGGAAAAGUAGCAAAUAAUUUCAAUUGUAAAAUGAAUGCUUUGGUUUCUUUUCUUGUUAAUGCCGUUUGACUGGUUGUUUUGUCUUAGUGGUUCUUUGACCUCUCUUUGGUCUUUUUAUUGAAAGUUAUGUUGAGAAACUGAAAUUAACUUAAACGUAAAAGGAUUUUUUGAGUAAACAUAUUUCACAGCAUAAGAAUACUGCAGUUUUCCUCUCUUAUAUAUAUCUGAAAAACAAAGCUUACAAAAUAACAAUCUCCACAAUAACCACUAACACACAAGUGCAGAUUUUGUGGAGUUCAACUACCUUAAGCAACGGAAGCAAAUUUGAACGUGGUGAACAGACUAAACCACAACUUCUACAUUCUAGGACUUCAGCUUGACUUGGUCUCUACAUGGCCAUGUCAGCAUUAUUUAAUUAAAAAACUAAUUAAACUUAACUAAAUAACUUUUAACACCCUCCCUUAAACUGAUUUUUACGAAAAACAGUUUAGGAUCUCUACACCAUCACAUAAUCAUCUUCCUGUUCAAUGCUUUGAAAUGAACAAACUCCCAACAUGCUUCUCAGCUUCUCAAGCGCAGGUACCAUCACAUAAUCAUCUUCCUGUUCAAUGCUUUGAAAUGAACAAACUCCCAACAUGCUUCUCAGCUUCUCAAACGCAGGUUGCUUCAAAGGCUUAGUUAAGAUGUCUGCAACCUGCUCCCCACUCUUGCAAUAUUCAAGUACAAUCUUCCCAUCACUGCACAGGUCACGCAAAAAAUGAAAACGUACAUCAAUGUGUUUACUUCUCCCAUGCAUGACUGGAUUCCUCGAUAGCUUUAUAGUUGACAUGUUGUCGCAGUAGAUGGUUGUUGGUCCCUUUUGAACAUCACCAAGCACUUCAAAUAUUUUCCUAAGCGACAUAGCUUGACAGGAGCUUGCAGCUGCUGCUACAUAUUCAGCUUCUGUUGAGGAAAGUGUCACAAUUUGUUGCUUCUUUGAGGACCACGAUAUUGCACCAGAGUUGAGCAGAAAUGUGUGACCGGAAGUGCUCUUACGAUCAUCUAUAUCACCUGCAUAGUCACUAUCUGUGUACCCAACAAAACCAGAACCAUCUUCCCUUUUAUAAAACACACCAUAAUCAAUUGUCCCCUUUACAUACCUGAGAAUUCUCUUUGCUGCAUUGAGAUGCAUUUCAGUUGGUUUUUCCAUAUAUCGGCUCACAAGACUCACUGCAUACAUGAUGUCAGGCCUCGUGUAUGUUAAAUACAUGAGACUCCCAAUUAUCUGUUUAUAGAAAGUGCUGUCAACCUCCUUUCCACCUUUGUCUUUGCAUAGCUUUAAGCCAUGUUCAGCUGGAGUUCCAAAUGGCUUGCAGUCAUCCAUCUGAAACCUGUUAAGAAUGUCCUGUGCAUAUUUUUUCUGGUAGAUGAAAUUACCAGCAGUAGUUUGAAUGACUUCCAAUCCAAGAAAAUAGUGCAUUAAUCCUAGAUCAGUCAUUUCAAACUCCAUCAUCAUAGACUUCUUGAAUUCAUCAAACAUUUUAGCAUCACUUCCAGUGAAUAUCAAGUCAUCAACAUACAAGCAUACCAUGAGUAUUUUACCUUCUUCCUCAGUCUUGACAUAAAGUGUGUGCUCAAAAGGACAUUUGUGAAAUCCAAGCUUAGCAAAGUGAGCAUCUAUGCGACUGUACCAAGCUCGAGGUGCUUGUUUCAGUCCAUAGAGUGUUUUCUUCAGUUUGAACACCUUCUCUUCUUCUCCUUUUCUCUCAUAACCAGGUGGUUGAUCAAUGUACACCUCCUCUUGCAGGUUUCCAUGCAGGAAUGCUGACUUCACGUCUAACUGAAAAAUUUGCCAGGAAUUUUGAGCUGCAAGAGAGAUCACUAACCUAAUCGUGUCGUGCCUCGCAACUGGGGCAAACACCUCUUUGUAAUCAAUGCCAUGCUUCUGCUUGUAGCCCUUAGCUACCAAACGAGCUUUGUGCUUGUCAACCUCACCUUUUUCGUUCAACUUUGUUCUAAACACCCAUUUAACACCAAUGGUUUGCUUUCCCUUUGGAAGAUCAGUUAACUCCCAGGUUUGAUUCUUCUCAAUGGACUUGAUUUCAUUGUCCAUUGCUUCCCUCCAUUUCUCCUCUUUAACAGCCUCAGUAUAUGUGAUUGGAUCACUAUCUACAAGUAAUGCAAAGUGAGCAUUUUCAUCAUCAGAACUUGAAUAACUUACAUCGUAGUCCAUCAUCCAUGCUGGCCUCUUCCUUGAGUUCUCAUCUCUCAAAUUGUAUCUCUCUUCUUCAAACUGUUGAGAUGACUGAACUUCAAGUUGAGGUGGCUGCUGGGCUUGAGUUUCAGGAGCUGCUACCUCUUCAUUGUCUAAAUCAUCAUAAACUGGAAUUUGUUGUUGAACCGAUCUGUUCUCAGACCAAUUCCACAUAGUGUCUUCAUCAAAUAUCACAUCCCUGCUUACCACUAUCUUCUUUGUAACUGGAUUGUACAGUUUGUAUGCUUUUGAGACUUCACUUACACCAAGAAAAACACAUUUUUCACUUUUGUCAUCCAACUUCUUUCUUUUCUCAUCGGGGAUGUGUGCAUAUGCUAUGCACCCAAACACCCUAAAGUGAUCAACCGCAGGCUUCAAUCCACUCCAAGCUUCUUGAGGAGUCAUAUUCUUAACAGAAAAUGUGGGACUUCUGUUUAAAAUAUGAACUGACCAUAGCACAGCUUCAGGCCAAAACUUCUUGGGAAUUCUUCCUUUGACUAGCAGACUUCGAACCAUGUUGAGAAUGGUGCGAUUUUUCCUCUCACUUACACCAUUUUGUUGUGGUGUAUAGGCAGUGGUCAACUGUCUCUUGAUGCCUUUCUCUUUGCAAAAUGCAUCAAAUUCCUUCGAACAGUACUCUCCCCCACGGUCAGUUCUUAGAGUUUUAAUCUUCUUUUCUGAUUCAUUUUCAACUAGAGCUUUGAAGCUUUUGAAUGCUUCAAAUGCCUCUGAUUUUUCCUGCAAGAAAUAUACCCAUGUCUUUCUACUAAAAUCAUCAGUAAAGGAGAUGAAAUAUUUCUUGUUACCAUUUGAGAUGGGAUUUAUUGGUCCACAUAGAUCAGAGUGAACCAUCUCCAGGAUUUAUUGAGCCCUUGCUGCCUUGCCACUUGGAAAAGAGUCUCUUUUGUGCUUCCCAGUGAUGCAUUCUUCACACAUCUUUGAUGGAGGAGUUAUAUCAGGUAAGCCAGUGACCAUCCCUUUCUGGUGAAGUGUUCUCAAGCCAUUAAAAUUCAAAUGGCCAUAUCUGUAGUGCCAUCUCCACGGGUCAUCUUCUUUGGCAAAUAAGCAAGCCUGCAGAGUCUUGAUUUUCAAAGGAAACAAUCUGUUGGAAGACAUUUUCACAACAGCAAUGGACCCUCUUUUUGGGUCGUACACUUCCCACUCUCCUUUAUAGAUUGUAAUCCUAUAGCCUUUAUCUUGUAACUGACCAGCACUCAGCAAAUUUGUCUUCAAAUCAGGAAUAUAAAAAACAUUUGAGAUAGUUUCAAUAAAGUCAUUUUUAGUUUUGAUUUGAAUAUCUCCCUUACCCAUCACUUUCACUGUUGACUUGUCACCAAAACUCACUACCGUGUGAAAGCUUUCAUCCAAAUUAAUAAAGGAAGACUUACAUCCACUCAUGUGAUUGCUGCAGCCUGUGUCCACAUACCAUGUCUCCUGAUCAGUUUUUGUCAGUGCAUGAAAAGCCAUCAAAAGUGUCUCUUCCUCCUUCUUUUUCUCCACAAAAUUUGACUUUUCUCCUUUUUCUUUUGGUAACUUCGUGUAGCACUCAUUCUUGUAGUGCCCAAAAUUUCCACAUCUAUAACACUCCACUUUUGACUUAUCAAAGUGGUACGUUCCUUUUUCUUCAAAGUCAUCAUCUCUUUUGAAAACAUGAGAUGACUUGCUGUCAUCUCUAUGUCCAGACCGUCCACCUCCUCGAUGACCUCGACCACCUCUUCCUCUAUCACGUCCACCUCUUCCACGACCUCUUCCUCCUCGAGAACUUGAGGACUCAGAAACAAUGGAAGCUUUCAGAGCUGUUUGUUCUUCACUGGCAGUGGUGCGGUUAAGUCUUUGUUCAUGCACUAACAAAGAGCUUUGUAGUUCAUCAACUCGUAACUCAGCAACGUUCUUUGCCUCUUCAAUUGAACAGACAAUGUAGUCAAAUUUUGGAGUCAAUGAUCUCAUAAUUUUCUCCACAACUUUGACUUCUUCCAUGGUGCCACCAUUGGAUCUCAUCUUGCUUGCUAUUCCCAGAGUUCUAGCAAAGAAAUCAGUGAUGGACUCUCCUGAUUUCAUUUGUAAAGUUUCGAAGUCCCUUGUUAGAGUUUGAAGCACUGCACGCUUCACCCUCUCUGACCCUGCAUAUUUCUUCUUCAAAGAAUCCCAUAUUUGUUUGGAGGUCUCCUUCUCGAGUAUCGUCUCCAAGAUAGAUCGAUCAAGUGCCUGAAAAAGGUAAUUUUUCACCCUCAAGUCCUUCAGCUUCUGUUCAGCAACCCUCUUUUGUUGUUGUUCAGUCAACACAACUCCCUCUGCUGGGGCGUCAAUUCCUGAUUCCACAAGAUUCCAAUACUCCUUUGACCUGAGAAAAUUUUCCAUCAGCAUGCUCCAAUGGUCGUAGUGACCAUCAAAUCGUGGAAUCGCUGGUUGAAUAAAACUCUCAGUGGCUUUCUCUGUUGCCAUUGUUUCUUGCUGCUGCAAGACACAAUCUUUCACCUUUUUUUCAAGUUUGUUCAGGCCCAGAAGAGCUCUGAUACCAGAUGUUGAGAAACUGAAAUUAACUUAAACGUAAAAGGAUUCUUUGAGUAAACAUAUUUCACAGCAUAAGAAUACUGCAGUUUUCCUCUCUUAUAUACAUCUGAAAAACAAAGCUUACAAAAUAACAAUCUCCACAAUAACCACUAACACACAAGUGCAGAUUUUGUGGAGUUCAACUACCUUAAGCAACGGAAGCAAAUUUGAACGUGGUGAACAGACUAAACCACAACUUCUACAUUCUAGGACUUCAGCUUGACUUGGUCUCUACAUGGCCAUGUCAGCAUUAUUUAAUUAAAAAACUAAUUAAACUUAACUAAAUAACUUUUAACAAGUUAAUCAAAUAAAAUAAAAAUAAAACAACAAUUAGAAGGGUUGCAAUUAGAUAGGCUUGCUAGGCUCCAAGAGGUGCAAGACUGUCUUUUGAUUAAAGUUCAAGCUCCCAAGUCCAAAUUUGGGGCACCAACUAGCCUAUCUCAUUGCAGGCGCUUAACACUUGAAGGGACUGGCGCAAUGAUUUACUAGUAAAAUUUGUAAUAGCUUAAGACUUCGCUAGUAUCAUUUAGUAGUUACAAAUCACUUUACUUCGCCAGUAGUGAGUCCCAAUAUCGGCUGAAUUGCUCUUUCGCCAGUAUUAGUCUGUCGGUAUAAGCUAAAAUUGUAGUAGUGUAAGCUAAUUCUUGAUUUACUGUAAUUAUUCCCUUAUCGGUUAAAACUUCAAAUCAUCAAAGAAAAUCAAAGCACUCUCUAAGAAUUUCACCCUUUAAGAGUGCAUUGAGGCAAACCUAAAAAAAUUCUUCUUCAUCAUCAUCUUGUCACGCUUCCUGAAUCCACCAUAGGAGAUUUUAGUUUGGCCCUCUGGAUGUCCUCUUUUAGGUCUUUACGCACCGCUUCUUGGGGCUUAUCACUUGAGCUCCCAAAGAUCACUCUCUUAGCUUCAGCAAAACUUCCGUCGUGAUCUCGUUUGCGUUUCCCUAGGAUCUCCAAGGCCUCCAGCUGUUUUUGCAUCUCUUUAGAAUAAGAAGUUACCAUCUUUGAUAACUUUUCAUUUUCUGCCUGCAAUAUUUGAAGCUAGCGUUGAUUCUCCUCUGCUGUUUUUUCCUCUUUUUUUUUUUUUCAAUCUUUUGAUCUCACGCCGAUAUUCAUCAACCAAAUUCUGCUCUGCCACAACUAAGCUCUCAGUACUUGCACCUCAUAAGAUUUUGCAAUGAGGCGAUGCCCCACACUUGUGAUAGUUGUCGCAUUUUGCAAGCACAGUGCCACAACAUUGCUCACUAACCGGUUGUCAUCCCCCGUUCCUAGUAUGCAUACAUCCCUGGGAGUCACCAAACUCUUCGCAACUCCAAUGGCAACCUCGUUGUCAAGGAGUAACGAGUCGCUUUUUGUCACUGGUCCUCGUGAAGAAGCAAAGUAGGGUAUCCAGACUGGUGCAACUCCUUGCCCCUAUGUCUGUGUUGGCGGAGCUAGGUUAAGAUCCAAAGAAGAUGAGAAGGGAUACGACAUUUUCUUUCUGCUUUCUUUUUCUUUCAUUUUCUCUCUUUUCUCUUUCUUCUUUCCUUUCUCUUUUCUUUCUUUCUUUUCUCUCUUCUGCGUGGUUGUAAUUCUUCUUUUUCCUUUGUUUCCUUUAAUAGAUGAACCCUAGCACCAUUGCACCGUCUAAUUUUUCCGCAUUCCUUGAGCUCCACAGCCUUCUCGCUUUCCACCGUCUACAACUUUGUCGCGACUUGUGCAACGUCGUCCCUACUAUCCAUGGCACCCAUAAUUCCGCUUGUAGAUUUGUCGUACCUCUGCGCGUCGACACAUGUCUCCUCUCUCUAGGGGUGGGCAUUGGAUUUGUGGUUCAAAUUGAUUUAGGGUUGAUUAAAAUAAAAUGGCAGCCCUAGAAACAGUGACCAGGUAUCUAUCCCAUAUGACAUAAAACAUUUAAAAACAUCCAUGGGACUAUAUUUAAAAAAUCAACUUGAUAAUGUUUAGUUGGAUUGUAUAAUGUGUUUUGUUUUGUUUUGUUGGAUUAUAAAAUGUUUAAGUUUCUGUUUUUUUGUUUAUUUAUAAAAUCAUCCAUGGGACUUCAUUUUCGGUUCAAGGUUCCAUUUUUUUAAGAAACCAGUCCAAAUCGGACCAUGCCCACCCCUACCUCUCUGUCUCUUUUUUUGCUUUGUUUUCCUUCUCUCUCUCUCUCUCUCUCUCUCUCUCUCUCUCUCUCUCUCUCUCUCUCUCUCUUCCUUAUAUAUUCUCUCCUCUCUCUGUUUUUUUAUUUAAAUUUUUUCAAUUGUGAGUUUUGUAACAUGCAUGUUAUUUUAUUUAUGAACCCAUUACACGACUCCAAACUCACACAAAAAAAGACGACCCGAACCCAAGAAGACAUGUUUAUUAAAUGGGUUAGAUUCGGGUUGAGCAUUCUUGACACGUUUGUUAAUUGGAUUGGGUUAAAUAAAUCAAUGACAGCAUAAAAUGAACACAGGGUUUGUGAAAAAUGUGAUAUUUUCAAUGACUAUAUUAAUAAAUCUUUAUUUUUUGAGUAGUUAGAUUUUUGCACAAAGCUUACCUUCCUCAACUGAUAGCUGCAUUGAUCUUUUGUCUAGCUCAACGGCGUGUCUGCUAAGCUCAGAUGGUGAUAAUUGACGAAGCGCUGGCAACAUGAUGAACGAAGAGCAUUUUCAGUGCUGGCAAAACUAAAGGCAGAAAAAUUGUAUGAAAUUUUUUAAAUUGAAAGAGCAGUGCCAUAAUAAAAUGACCUACUCUGGAUCUAUUCUCUCUGAUCAGAAUCAUCAAAUUGCUUCAAGAGGUUCUUGAAAUGUAGAAACCCUUCUGUCCUUUGCUCAUCAUGGUUCUUCUCAGAACCAACCAAGUGAGGAACCAGAGAUUCAGGAGUGAAUCUAAGUUGCCUGGAAUGAGCAGCUGGCAAUCCAUUGGAACAGGUGGUUUACCAGGUGAAAAAUCUACCGGAGAAGCCAAGGGCAUUGGUGCGAACGCAGAUGUCUCAUGUUCCUGCUUCUUGGUUCUGUCUCUAGGUAGGUCUUGCUGCUUUUGCAAACAAUAUCGUUUGAAAUUGAGAGAGUAAGUAUUUUGUUCUCACACCUUUAACUCUUCGCUUGCCUAAUGCUGAAUCUAACUUCCUCGCACUACCACCAUGCAUGAGCUGAUCACUUGCACUGCUGAUGCUCGUGAAUUGGUGACAAGGGGAGCUCCGUGGCAACUCAGGGUUGAGUAUCUUAGUUCCCAAAACCUUAAUGGGAUGCGCGACUGGUCGUCCUAGAAAAACAUACUUGUUAGGGUUAGAGGUCCAUCGGAGUAGUCAUUAGCUGCUAAUCAACCCGAGAGAGAGAGAGAGAGAGAGAGAGAGAGAGAGAGAGAGAGAGAGAGAGAGAGAGAGAGAGCAAAGAAGAAAUGUGGGGCGUGUUUUUUUUUUCCUAAUCUUAUAAUUAAGCGUGUGUUUUCUAAAUCGGGGCAUGUGAGUUGUAUUAGUCGGGUAAUGAGAGUAUUAAAAACUUUCGUUUAAUAUAAUUCAGUAAUUAAGUAAUACAAGUUGACAUCAAACAAAUGACAUUGACUAUUUACUCAUAUCCAUAGUCUAAUACCAUGUACCAAACAUACCUAUACGAGCUUUUGCCACAUGACUCAUCUAACAUGACAAUCCAAGUCCACAAACACAAGCAUACACACUAAGACAGGACACUCAUAUGCAUGUGAACUACAAGAACGACUGCAUAAUAUCUUGUAUAGAAACAAGACAAUACAACCGGCGCUUAUUACAUUGGAACUACAGUUCACAUUACAUACCAAAUUUAGUAUAACACAGAUAGGAAUUCAAACAUUUGACUUGGCAUAACCCUCAAAUGCUUGGCCUCACAUUGAGACGGGAUAAAAGCUUUUGACCCAGAGACUUAUCUGCCUGCAUUGCCAAUACAAGCACAUAACAUCAGAACAACAUGGCUUAUUCUAAAACUAACCCUUCAUAUUCCAGUAUCACAUCAUCACGUUGCUUAACGGUACAAAUUCACAAAUGCAAUAAUUUAUAAAUAGACUCACCUGAGACCAGUAUGAGAUCCAAAUGCUGCGAAUCUCAUGGGUGACACGAGGGUCUGAUAGGGCAUCCACCCAUCGGCGGAUGAAUCGCUCUUGCCUGCAUGAAGAUGCAAGAUUAAGAACAAUGUUUAAAUACAAUUAUUUUCAUACAGAGACAUCACAGGGUUGCCAGGUACCUGUCUGGCGCCCAAGAUCUGUAUCUCUCUCCAGGUUGCUUAAAGUUGUUCUCCUUCUCAAUGACGCACUGAAUAACCAAAACAAAGUUCCCAUAUGAAUUAUUAUGUGCAGAAAACAAGGAAAAUCCAGAAAUGCAAUCGGUGCAUAUGUAUACACACACACACCUACACUAGUGUAUGUGCCCAGGUGACAGAAAAAGGGACACAGCUGGAAGAAAAGAUGAUGUACAGACGAGACGGGGAAACUAAGGUAUAUUAUUUAAAGCAAUAUUCCUCAAUUGAUAGAAACUGACCUUCUCACGCUUUCCAGAAAGGAUAUUAGAAGGAAUGGGGUAGCGCUCAGCAUGACGAACAGGAUCAUGCCUUGAAGGGAAGUAAUUAACCUGAAAAUAACAGUAUAGCAACUCAUCAGAGAAAACUCAAAUGAAUAAACAUGCAUACAAUUGGAGUUGUCCUCCCAGAAUAUUGAGCAAUCGAAGUAUACAAGGGCCAAAGCGAUUCCAUAUGAGACAUAACAAUUGAGUAAAAUAAUAAUACCUCCUCAUCCCUGUGCAUGAAAUUCAUGAAUCCCUCAUGAUGAUUGUUAUGAUGAGGACACUUGGGAGCAUUCACUGGGAGCUGCAGAUAGUUCGGGCCAAGACGGUGCCUCUGAGUAUCAGAAUAUGCGAAGAUUCGAGUUUGGAGCAUCUUAUCAUCUGAAUAGUAGAUACCAGGGACAACAUGGGCAGGGUUAAACGCAAGUUGUUCAUUCUCUGCAAAGAAGUUAUCGAUGUUUUUAUUCAGAACCAAACGGCCAACUGGCUGCAGGGGAAGGAUAUCUUCAGGCCAGGUCUUAGUUAAGUCAAGAGGGUCAAAGUCAAAUCUGUCCUCGUGAUCAGGAUCCAUUGUCUGAAUAUAAAGUUUCCACUCAGGGUAGUUGCCAGCUGCAAUGGAAUCAUAGAGGUCCUUGGUAGCAUGGCUGUGAUUAGCUCCUCCAACCUUAAUAGCUUCAUCCUCCAACAAACACUUGACUCCACAAGUAG
rnacentral:lncRNA from 1 species